rnacentral:tRNA from 1 species
GCUGGCGUAGCUCAGUUGGCAGAGCAGCUGAUUUGUAAUCAGCAGGUCGGGGGUUCGAUUCCCUUUGCCAGCUCCA